UUUCUGUGUGAGAGGGAUGGGAGAGGGUGUUCGGGGAGGUUGUGGAGUCCAGUUCCCUGGGCCCCAUUCCAGUUGCGUGCGGGCGCUUUGCAGUGGGGCCUUGGUAUUCUGUCUGGCUGUGUGAUUUGUGCUCUUGUUGCAGGGUGAAGGCUGCAGAGGAGAGCUUUGCAGAGAGGAUUGGCUGGAACAGGUGUGCGCUUUUCCCAGUGGUGGGAAUGAAGGAGGGUGGAAGGUCAUGCCCUGAAGGAGGGGAGUUAAGGGAGAGUGGCCCUUUCCAGCUGGAGCUGGGGGUCCCGGUGCGGCUGAUGUCCUGUGGGGAAGAUGCAGAUCCCGGGAGCUGCGACCAGGAGGAGGAG
ensembl:lncRNA